AUCGGUUUAUUUCAAAGGAUGUUUUAUUUUAUUUUCUCCUCAGACAUACUUUAUCAUCCCUUAAAGUCAGUAGCUCAAAGGAAACUUUAAAAGCUAUAAAUAGGCCGGGCACGGUGGCUCACGCCUGUAAUCCCAGCACUUUGGGAGGUCGAGGAGGCAGCAGUCGCAGCCGGCCUGCAGAGUGAGAUGCAGUGCCAGAGGGCUUCAGGAGGAGGUGGCAUUGUGAUUGAUGUCUGAAGAGUGUCUCCAUGAUAAUGGAGUCAGUGCAAAGUCCCAAAGACUGGGAAGGAGCAAGAGGAAAGGAUAGCUCAUAUCCAGCUGCCCCACUCCAAAAAAAAAAAAAAAAAGAGGAAAGGACGGGCAC
rnacentral:lncRNA from 10 species